UCUAUCAGCCGGUCGUCGCUCUGUUUUUACAAGCAGGGAGGAAAGUCCGGACAGCAAAGGGCAACACACCGGUUAAGCGCCGGCUCUUUUGCCGCAGGGUAAAAGAAGAGACAGUGCCACAGAAAAUAACUACUCCUGCAAAGGAGAAAAGGUGAAAACGUGAGGUAAGAGCUCACGGCUCCGGCAGGUAACUGCAGGGGCGGGUAAACCUUGUGUGCUGUAAUGCCACGUAUACCAGCGUUUGAGGGCGGCCCGUCCGAGUUGGAGGGUAGGCAGCAAGAUCCAUUCAGCAAUGGGUGGGCAAGAUAAAUGAUGACCGUUCCGGUGCAAAUCGGGAUAACAGAAUCCGGCUUAUGGCUGAUAGAUUUU
rnacentral:RNase_P_RNA from 1 species